rnacentral:rRNA from 1 species
AUUGGAGGGCAAGUCUGGUGCCAGCAGCCGCGGUAAUUCCAAGCUCCAAUAGCGUAUAUUAAAGUUGUUGUGGUUAAAAAGCUCGUAGUUGAACCUUGGGCCKGGCUGGCCGGUCCGCCUCACCGCGUGUACUGGUCCGGGCCGGGCCUUYCCUUCUGUGGAACCCCAUGCCCUUCACUGGGUGUGGCGGGGAAACAGGACUUUUACUGUGAAAAAAUUAGAGUGCUCCAGGCAGGCCUAUGCUCGAAUACAUUAGCAUGGAAUAAUAGAAUAGGACGUGUGGUUCUAUUUUGUUGGUUUCUAGGACCGCCGUAAUGAUUAAUAGGGACAGUCGGGGGCAUCAGUAUUCAAUUGUCAGAGGUGAAAUUCUUGGAUUUAUUGAAGACUAACUACUGCGAAAGCAUUUGCCAAGGAUGUUUUCAUUAAUCAGGAACGAAAGUUAGGGGAUCGAAGACGAUCAGAUACCGUCGUAGUCUUAACCAUAAACUAUGCCGACUAGGGAUCGGACGGUGUUAUUUUUUGACCCGUUCGGCACCUUACGAGAAAUCAAAGUGCUUGGGCUCCAGGGGGAGUAUGGUCGCAAGGCUGAAACUUAAAGAAAUUGACGGAAGGGCACCACCAGGGGUGGAGCCUGCGGCUUAAUUUGACUCAACACGGGGAAACUCACCAGGUCCAGACACAAUGAGGAUUGACAGAUUGAGAGCUCUUUCUUGAUUUUGUGGGUGGUGGUGCAUGGCCGUUCUUAGUUGGUGGAGUGAUUUGUCUGCUUAAUUGCGAUAACGAACGAGACCU